rnacentral:pre_miRNA from 1 species
AAAGUACUCCCUCCGUCCCAAAAUUCUUGUAUUAGAUUUGUCUAGAUACGGAUGUAUCAAGUCACAUUUUAGUAUUAGAUACAUCCGUAUCUACACAAAUCUAAGACAAGAAAUUUGGGACAGAGUGAGUAGUUG